UAAGUGCACCUCUAGUGGUCAUGUUGGGUAAGUGCACCUCUAGUGGUCAUGUUGGGUAAGUGCACCUCUAGUGGUCAUGUUGGGUAAGUGCACCUCUAGUGGUCAUGUUGGGUAAGUGCACCUCUAGUGGUCAUGUUGGGUAAGUGCACCUCUAGUGGUCAUGUUGGUAAGUGCACCUCUAGUGGUCAUGUUGGGUAAGUGCACCUCUAGUGGUCAUGUUGGGUAAGUGCACCUCUAGUGGUCAUGUUGGGUAAGUGCACCUCUAGUGGUCAUGUUGGGUAAGUGCACCUCUAGUGGUCAUGUUGGUAAGUGCACCUCUAGUGGUCAUGUUGGUAAGUGCACCUCUAGUGGUCAUGUUGGGUAAGUGCACCUCUAGUGGUCAUGUUGGUAAGUGCACCUCUAGUGGUCAUGUUGGGUAAGUGCACCUCUAGUGGUCAUGUUGGGUAAGUGCACCUCUAGUGGUCAUGUUGGGUAAGUGCACCUCUAGUGGUCAUGUUGGGUAAGUGCACCUCUAGUGGUCAUGUUGGGUAAGUGCACCUCUAGUGGUCAUGUUGGGUAAGUGCACCUCUAGUGGUCAUGUUGGAUAAGUGCACCUCUAGUGGUCAUGUUGGGUAAGUGCACCUCUAGUGGUCAUGUUGGGUAAGUGCAACAGGUCGGCUGAACUAAACGCAAAUCAAGUCAGACACUGUGUCCCAAUCAACAAGGAUAAAAUGCAGCGUUUCAAGGCAAGAUGUCUAAAGUGGCAUGUCUCAAGCUCAAUGAAACUUAAAGGGGAAUCGAAACACUUUAGGAAGUACGUCUAAGCAAAGAGAUGUAUUCAAUCCACUAAUACUAAACAUGUGCAUUUAACAUAAAAAACAUCUCUAUAUUUAGUAUUUUGAUUGUCGACAAGGUUUAUUUGAGCUAUGGUCAGCGCCAUUUUAAAUUGCCAUAGUAACGCCUGGCAGGAAUCAGAAGGUUGUCGGUUAUUUAGGAGAGUGAAUCAAAGAGAGUGAGGUUUGGACAACGAAGAUGGCAACAAAACGUAAUUCAAACAUUAACUGUAUAGCACCCGGCUGUAGGAAUUGGCUCCAAAAAAAAAAAAUCCCUCGGUAAGCUACCAUCGGCUGCCCAAGGACUCACAACUUUUGAAGAAGUGGCUCCAUGUCCUUAAGACGUGUCAGCUGUAGCUAGCAGGAUCUGUAGCCAGCAAGCAGGAUCUGUAGCCAGCAAGCAGGACCUGGAGCCAGCAAGCAGGACCUGGAGCCAGCAAGCAGGACCUGGAGCCAGCAAGCAGGAUCUGUAGCCAGCGCUUCGCGGAGGAAAGGCGAGUUCAAUGCGGCAACCGGGAGUUUCCGAAUAGAAAGGAAUCAUAGGCCUACGUUGAAGCCCUCUGCUUUCCCCCUCCAUUUGAGGGUUAUGGUGUAUUAGGGGUUACUGACCGACCAUCAACAACAUUGCUGAAAAUGUUGGAGUGAACGGAGGAGGCGACGCGAGUCACUGGAGCCUGAGGUAACGUUAAACCGGUCAUGACUAGUCUAGCGUUAGACACUGGACAACUUUGUUGCAACUCUAGUUGAAGGGUGACAUCUUCAUCCCUGAAAAGGUUUUCAUCCUGGAGGAGAUUGCAGGAGCAGGAAAGAACAGUUAGUACAGCAGGCCAAACUGACCCCUGGGUGCCAGAGUGUUCCUGUGCUGUGGUGAGGAGGUCCACCGGGACCAUCACUGAAGAGCUCGGGGCCCCAGCUAGAUUACGCUCACGACCAUCAGUAUAGAACCAAGUCCUGCCCCUAUACGCCCCAGAUGGAGCUGACAGAGAGAGGUCAAUGAAUACCAGAACUCGCUGUAGGAACCUGAGAGCUCAGAAUCACAAUCAUCACAGUUCGAGCCAAGAUAUACUAUCGAAGAGUGUGUGUGUGUGUGUGUGUGCGCAAGAUCCGAAAUACAUAGUCUUUGAUAGUAAGCUGAAGGAGUUGUUCAAUGUCUGCCAUGAGCCAGGAUGUCGAGCAGGUGUCAUCAGUUCAACCCUGAAAAUAAAUGGUUUUGCCAUCUCUAUGGCGCCGGGAAGUGUGGGGGGUUGUUGAUCUAGGUGGGCUGGCAGAAUGGGCAGGCCAUCCUUGCUGGGUGGUCUGGCGUGGGACCGGGGGUGGCGGCGUAGGGAAAGGGAAGGGUGCCUGGAUCCCCUCCCGCUGGUAGUGGAGGGGCUUGGCUGCAGGGAGGGGCUGGGCGUUGACGCUGGGGGCAGGAGCGAGCCCCAAUCUCUGCUGCAGCACCAUCCUCUCCUUCUGACACCGGGAGUACUUGAAACAGGGAGAGAAAACAAACACAAGCUGUCACUCAGUCUUCCAUAAGUUAACGUCUUACCACUGACUGAUGGUCCUUUGAUUCAGCUCAAAGAGCUGAAGGUUGGUCUGGGCCAUGAACCUCGGGACUGUUCAGCACUGCCUCCCUGAUGGCCACGUAGUCUGCCAGAAUGAGCGCCCGCCUGCUCUUCUUGACACCGGCAGACUGCGUGGCGCUGGAAUGGAUCUGACAGAGUUGACUGCAAAUGGCCUCCACCAAACGGAAGAUGCGCUGCUUGUCGUAGUCUGUCAGCGCCAGCCACAGCGCCACCAGACAGUCUUCCCUGCGGUCCGACAACUGACGGUUCCUCACCCCCACCAAGGCCCUGGCAAGCCUGUGGACAUGCUGGUAGCCCGGCAUUGCAUCAGGGCCUUGCAUCUCCCUCUGAAGAUAAAGAGACAGGGAAGAAUUGAUGAGGACAAUGUCACACAUUUAGAGGUAAACGCAUAAGAUUCCUCUACAAAGGAAAUAGACAAUGUUAUUUUAUGUUGUAACUGAAAAUCACUCUGAUGGAUUCUGUUCAAAUGUAACAUGUUUCAAGUUAAACUAGUUUGUUUGUAUCCUGUUUAGUGAAUGAGUAUUAAUGGGCCAUGAAACUGUGUGUAUACUAAUUUAGAAAGGUUAACCUAAUCAGAUAAGAGGAAAUUGUCUAGGAUCAGAGAGCAGGGUCAGGCCCAGAAGAUGGGUAGCUAAACAGAGAGGACCAUGGACAUUUAACAGGGGAAAGAAGGGGAACUCAUUGUGGUCAUAAGAUGUAUCGCUGGGGAGGUGACGCCUACAGGGGAAGAGUAUAAAAUGUAUCGCUGGGGAGGUGACGCCUACAGGGGAAGAGUAUAAAAUGUAUCGCUGGGGAGGUGACGCCUACAGGGGAAGAGUAUAAAAUGUAUCGCUGGGGAGGUGACGCCUACAGGGGAAGAGUAUAAAAUGUAUCGCUGGGGAGGUGACGCCUACAGGGGAAGAGUAUAAAAUGUAUCGCUGGGGAGGUGACGCCUACAGGGGAAGAGUAUAAAAUGUAUCGCUGGGGAGGUGACGCCUACAGGGGAAGAGUAUAAAAUGUAUCGCUGGGGAGGUGACGCCUACAGGGGAAGAGUAUAAAAUGUAUCGCUGGGGAGGUGACGCCUACAGGGGAAGAGUAUAAAAUGUAUCGCUGGGGAGGUGACGCCUACAGGGGAAGAGUAUAAAAUGUAUCGCUGGGGAGGUGACGCCUACAGGGGAAGAGUAUAAAAUGUGUUGUGAGCUUUCUAAACGCAUGCUCUCAGCUGACUGUAUCCUUGGUUUUAAACACUGUGACGUAGAAGUCAGUCACUGGCCGCGGGCAGCAUUUGGUACUUUAACGCAGGCACACAUUCAUCACUCCUCCCUGCUCCGUUAUCAGAUAAGUUAACUUCUCUAUCUUAGUACAUACAUUUCACACUUACUUCAGUAACCGGUUAUGGUAUGAAGAAAUAAACAGACAAGUGUUCAUAUUUAAUAUAAGCAAUAUUUAUUAUACUUAUCGAUGUUAUGGAUGAGCACGUUGUUUGUUCUGUUCCUCUCUCCAUCUCUGUAGCUUCGGGGUAUGCUGGAUAAGGACCCGAGCUAAGGGAAUUGGGCUGACUUUGUAUUUCCUGUCCCGAAUGGCUCAUUAAUGUAAAUGGGCAUAUUGAAUGACACUGUCAGUAGUGAUGUCAUUUUGUAAAUGUUAUAUUGGGAUAUUGUUUCAUAAAAAAACGUGUUGCAAUGUAUAUACUUUAGUAUGUUUAGUUGAAUGGAAAAUGUAGGUUUGAAUAGGUAAUUGCUUAAUUAAUUAGUGUUAAUUGUUCUGAGGGGAGGGGCUACCCCUCCAAAAGGAGCCUCUUUCAGUUCAUAGAGAGGCAUUUUGGAUUGAGCUGUGGGUGGGGCAGCAUUGUUUUUAAGCUGUCCCAUAAGGUAUACGUUUGAUGGCAGUACUGUUGUUUUUGUUCC